rnacentral:tRNA from 1 species
UACCCCGUGGUGUAAUUGGCAACACCUCAGGUUUUGGUCCUGAUGUUCCUGGUUCGAGUCCGGGCGGGGUAG